CGACCGGCGCACGGGUGAGGUAACACGUAUCCAACCUGACCGAUGACUCGGGAUAGCCUUUCGAAAGAAAGAUUAAUACCCGAUGGCAUAGUUCUUCCGCAUGGUAGAACUAUUAAAGAAUUUCGGUCAUCGAUGGGGAUGCGUUCCAUUGGCUUGUUGGCGGGGUAACGGGCCCACCCAAGGCAUCGAUGGAUAGGGGUUCUGAGAGGAAGGUCCCCCACAUUGGAACUGAGACACGGUCCAAACUCCUACGGAAGGCAGCAG
rnacentral:rRNA from 1 species